rnacentral:tRNA from 1 species
GAGGGUGUAGCUCAGUGGUAGAGUGUGUGCUUAGCAUGCACGAGGUCCUGGGUUCAAUACCCGGUACCUCCA